rnacentral:lncRNA from 1 species
GGCCCCGCCCCGAGGUGCUGGUUGAGAAAGGGCGCUCAACACAAGAGCGCAUCCCUGGAGGCCGCUGGAAACUUAGGGAGAGAAAGAAAACAGGAGCGAGGAGCAGUUUCUGUAAGAGGCCCUGAGAAAUUCGCUUCUCUCACGCUAAACCCUAUGUUAUUCACCUUCUUGCCUUACCUCUCUGCAUCGUAGCCCUGCUGACAUCACCUGUGCCUCUAGAAGAAGAGAAUGAGUGGUUUCUAGAACCAGGAAUCAAUGGCUACAGGGAUGGGGCCAUUGGAUAGAAGCUGUCAGCAGAAGGACGCAGGACACUCCCAGUGACCUGAAGGGAGGGAACCAGGAAAAACAGCUCCAAUGGUCUUUCGCCAUUCACCUUGAAUGCUGAAACCUCGUGUGCUUCUUCUGGAGUGAGGCAUGUAGAGGGGCUGCCAGCUAGAGAACAGAAUCCUCAAGUGCUCCAGGAGCAACUGACAUGCCUGCACCCGGAGCCACCUCCAUCUCACCCCGACUCCCUGGCACCAGGAGACUCUGAAAGUAAAAAAUCAAGAGAGUCCACAAAGAUUACCUUUCUGGUCAAUACUCUCCAUCACAUCAAGGAAGGAGAUGACCAUUCCCCUGCAGCUGCCAGCUUCACAAGGAAGUUGACAAUUGAAGCGGAUCAUGGAGAAGGUAAUAAUAACCAUAGCCACAAGCCUUUGUACCCCAUUACGAUAAACCAGGCAUAUUCAGAUGCCUUAUUCAACACACUUAAGGGCAGGUAUUAUUAUCUGCAUUUUACAGGAGAGCAAAUUGGGGAACAGUAAAGGAUGCUCAAGAUAGCAGGAAGGUUUGAAACAAAGUAAGGUGCAAAGGUGAAAAUAUUCUGCUGAACAAUUUUUUUUAAACUCCAGGCAAGUUAGAAGUGUGUAGUGGGGAGAGGAGAUUGCAGACUAUACUUUGGGAGUCUUGGAUAAUGGGGACUGACUUAUUUUUUACUCCCUCCUCUUUCUCCACUGGAUUUUAUGACCUAAUUUUGGGGUCACAAAAUAUCAGGCUCAAUUGUAGGUUCACCAUCCUGUGCUUUGCCAUCAAAUGGUGGGAUUUCUCAUGAGUGCCACCCCUAGAAUCUCAUUUCCUUUGUACUUUAUCUCUAGAAAAUCCAGCCCUCUAUGUGGGGCAAUUUUCCUUAUGUUAUAUCUGCUCAAACAACCUCAUUUCUUUUUUUUUACCCCAAGAAACACAUCUCUUUUUAUACAUAUUCACUCAUUAGCAUGAUUAUUUGAUUAAAAAGAAUCAUUAAAUAAGUAAAUGAGUAGCUAUGUCACAACUAAGUAAAAUCUUACUUGAAAAAUAAUUUUCUUUCUAUUCUAGAAUAGACUUCUUCUUUUUCAUAGCAAAAUUUUCCCUCACUAAUAUUUGAAAGGCUUCCUAACUCCUAAGGUUAUACAUAAAUUCACCUGUAUUUUCCUGCUAAUACCUUGAAAAUGGUGAUGAUAUGGUGGUGAUGGGGAAGGAAAAUCGGCUCAGAUGGAGGGCUGGAUGGUGGUGAUGAUGAGACGGAUGACGAUGACGUUGAUGAAGAUGAUGAUGGUGAAGAAGAUGGAAGUGGUGGUGAUGAUGGUGGUGAUGAUGAAGGCGAGGAUAACGAUGAUGGUACCCAACACCUUUUGAGCUCUGGCUAUAAGGGCAGCCAAGUGGUCCCUUCAAUUUCCACAACACCUCUGCAAUAUAAGUACUGUUGUUAGUUCCAUUUUUCUUUUUUUUUUUUUUUUUUGGAAAAAGAAUUAAGGCUUAUAUUUUUUAAGGACCUGGAUCAAGGUCACCAGGCCAGCUGAGUCAUGGAGCCAGGAUCCUGAGACAAUGUGACCCCAAAGGCUGGGAUGCUACUACAUUCUACUUAUUUAUUUUUCAAAUCAUCUCUCAAAGGAAUGAGUAUGAUUUCCAUAAUUAAAUGCCCCCUAGCCUCAUCCCUCCUUCUGUGGGCUUUAGUCCCUUCUCCUCCAAUGUCACUCCCAGUUCUCAAGUUGAGUUCCUAUGAGAAACAGCAGGGUUGCUGUCCUUUCCCUUGCUUAUAUCCCGUGCAAACAGAUUCUAUUCACAGGGGCUUGCAAAGGACCCUUUUAUAUCAGGCAGUGUUGAAAGCAACAAUGAAAAACACUUUUAGCUUCAACUUCCCAUAUCUUCCAAUGGAAGUAUUUGCUUUCCAGAAAUGCCCAGCAUAACCUAGAGCAAUGGAUUUCUGCGUGGUCUCUGGGCCAGCAGCAUCUUGUUUGAAAUACAAAUUCUCAGGUCCUAGACCCACCGCCUCAGAAACUCUAGGGUCUUUGCUUUCCCAAGCCUUCUGAUGAUUCUGGUAUUGACGUAUAAUACCUUCUUCGUAAGCCAGUUAUUAAAAUAAUAGUAAGACAGAAAGCAUGCUCUAGGUUGUUCUUUUACAGAAGCAUCUGUAAGCAAGUUCAAAAGAGGGGGCAACCUCUGGAGAGUCAGGCACUAUGUUGGCCUCUGGUGCGCUGUUGUUUUCACCUGGGAUCUCCUGCUUGUGUGUGUUGGGAGUGAAUCCUUGCAUUUAUCAGACUAAAUUAAAAUGAGCGCUAUAAUGAAUUCCUUGCACACACAGACAUGACAUUUGCAGGCAAGUCACUAAGUACACAUGUCCUGAUAAUGUUCCUUCAUUUCAAAUGGAUUUUCUUCUCAUUUAUCAUCUGCUGGAAAGAACUCUGGCUGAUGAGAACUAAGGCUGGCCAGGAAGGAGAAGGGGAAGGAGAACAAAGCAAAUUCAGGUGGUGUUAGUAACAGCCCCACUCAGCCAUAAAAAAGAACGAAAUAAUGCCAUUUGCAGCAAUAUGGAUGCAACUAGAGAUGAUUAUAGUAGGUGAAGCAAGUCAGAAAGAGAAAGACAAAUACCAUAUGAUAUCACUUAUGUGUGGAUAGGGCACAAGUGAACCUAUCUACGGAAUAGAAACAGGUCACGGAUGUAGAGGACAGACUGUGGUUGCCAAGGGGGAGGGGGAGGGUUAGGAUGGCCUGGGAGUUUGGGGUUAGUAGAUGCAAACUAUCCCAUUUAGAAUGGAUAAGCAAUGAGGUCCUGCUGUACAGCACAGGGAACUCUAUCCAGUCUUUUGGGAUAGAACAUGAUGGAAGAUUAUAUAUGAAAGGGAACAUAUAUGUAUAUAUGUAUGUAUGACUGGGUCACUUUGCUGUACAGCAGAAAUUGGCACAACAUUGUAAAUCAACUAUACUCUAAUAAAGAAUAAGUAGGAGCUCCCAUUGUGGCUCAGCUGGUUAAGAACCCAACAUAGUGUCAGUGAGGAUGUGGGUUCAAUCCGUGACCUCGAUCAGUGGGUUAAGGCUCAGAUCCAGCAUUGCCUAGCCCGGGAGUUUCCAUGUGCCAUAGAUGCAGCUAUUUUAAAAAAAGGAAAAAAUAAAAAUAAAAAA